UACCCCUAGCAAUCUCAAAAAACCGAUCGUAGUCCAGAUUGGAGUCUGCAACUCGACUCCAUGAAGUCGGAAUCGCUAGUAAUCGCGGAUCAGAAUGCCGCGGUGAAUACGUUCCCGGGCCUUGUACACACCGCCCGUCACACCAUGGGAGUCUAUUGCACCAGAAGUAGCUAGCUUAACCUUCGGGAGGGCGGUUACCACGGUGUGGUCAGCGACUGGGGUGAAG
rnacentral:rRNA from 1 species